GUGAAGCACGUGGGCCGUUCAGACAAGGUGAAACGGUCGUUGCUCUCUGGACACACUGAGGUGCAACCAUGGUCACCACAUGGCAGCGAGCUGCUGCUAAAAGGAACGCGGAGACUCAGACUGAAAGCAUGAAUGUCCAUGCCGCAGUUCAGGUCUCAGACUGCAGAGAAUGCCUGGCCCUGUCACUGCUACAGGAGGGCAGCCAGGAUACCACCUGUGUGUGGUGUGAGCAGGUGGAGGAUCUGCUCAGCCUGGUGGUAGAGCUAAAUGAGGAAGUAGAAAGGCUGAGGAGCAUCUGGGAUUGUGGGAAGGGGAUUGAUUGGUGGAGUCACACUCUGCCAUCCCUACAGGAAGGGUGUGGGGGAGAUGCUCCUCAAGCAGUGGGGGAUCAUCUGCUGUCUCACAGUCAGGUGGGAAGGGGUGACCUCAAAGACAGCAAGGGAUGGAAACAAGUCCCUGUUUGGGGCAACAAGCGGACUGCCCC
ensembl:lncRNA